rnacentral:rRNA from 1 species
GACGAACGCUGGCGGCGUGCUUAACACAUGCAAGUCGAACGGAAAGGCCCUGCUUUUGUGGGGUGCUCGAGUGGCGAACGGGUGAGUAACACGUGAGUAACCUGCCCUUGACUUUGGGAUAACUUCAGGAAACUGGGGCUAAUACCGGAUAGGAGCUCCUGCUGCAUGGUGGGGGUUGGAAAGUUUCGGCGGUUGGGGAUGGACUCGCGGCUUAUCAGCUUGUUGGUGGGGUAGUGGCUUACCAAGGCUUUGACGGGUAGCCGGCCUGAGAGGGUGACCGGCCACAAUGGGACUAAGAUACGGCCCAGACUCCUACGGGAGGCAGCGGUGGGGAAUAUUGCACAAUGGGCGGAAGCCUGAUGCAGCAACGCCGCGUGCGGGAUGACGGCCUUCGGGUUGUGAACCGCUUUCGCCUGUGACGAAGCGUGAGUGACGGUAAUGGGUAAAGAAGCACCGGCUAACUACGUG